rnacentral:rRNA from 1 species
AGUCAUAUGCUUGUCUCAAAGAUUAAGCCAUGCAUGUCUAAGUAUAAGCAAUUAUACAGCGAAACUGCGAAUGGCUCAUUAUAUAAGUUAUCGUUUAUUUGAUAGUACCUUACUACUUGGAUAACCGUGGUAAUUCUAGAGCUAAUACAUGCUAAAAAUCCCGACUUCGGAAGGGAUGUAUUUAUUAGAUUAAAAACCAAUGCCCUCUGGGCUCUUUGGUGAUUCAUAAUAACUUAACGAAUCGCAUGGCCUUGUGCCGGCGAUGGUUCAUUCAAAUUUCUGCCCUAUCAACUUUCGAUGGUAGGAUAGUGGCCUACCAUGGUUUCAACGGGUAACGGGG